UACGAAGGGGGCUAGCGUUGCUCGGAAUCACUGGGCGUAAAGCGCACGUAGGCGGGUCCUUAAGUCAGGGGUGAAAUCCCGGAGCUCAACUCCGGAACUGCCUUUGAUACUGGGGAUCUUGAGUCCGGAAGAGGUGAGUGGAACUCCGAGUGUAGAGGUGAAAUUCGUAGAUAUUCGCAAGAACACCAGUGGCGAAGGCGGCUCACUGGCCCGAUACUGACGCUGAGGCACGAAAGCGUGGGGAGCAAACAGG
rnacentral:rRNA from 1 species